UAAUCGGCAGCGCCGCAUGGAGUCGAACAACUUUUAACUUUUAUCAAGUUAUACUUUUAUAAUUUCUACUAUUACCUGAGGGUCACAUUUACAGUUAAGACAAAAGAGGCAAGGGCUUGAGUCCCGCAGCACCCCACUGGACAACAAAAUAUUCUGCUCCUGCUGUGACUGUGGACAAACACCAAGACCUCUUGCUUGCUCCUUGAACACAUGGCAUAGCAAACAGGAGAAAAGAAGCAGGGACGUGUCCACCAUCUCUCCAUUUAUUCAGGUAGCGUCUCUGGAGCGUCUCCAGCAGAAAGUUAAAGAGCUGAAGCCUCUAGCCUUCAAAAAACCUGAAGGACGAGACACGCCUGAGAGGAAUCGCUUAUUUCUGAGGGUAUACGUGGGUCAUGGGCAGAGAAAGAGUUGCACCAGCUUCAAAGCAGAUAGUGUUGGCCACCCUCAUGGGAAUGCAAGCUGGCAGUGUCCUGUCCCAUCUGUCAGACAGAGGAUGAGGAGGAGUGAGGGUGCGUGUGUGUAUGCGUGAUGGCGUGUGAAUAUAUAUGUGUGCAUGUGGGCAGGGAAUGUCUGCUGGGAUGUAUGGACGCAUUUGUGCAUGUGCAUGAAUUUCGAUUUAUUGGUGCUUCAUAAAUGCUAAUGCAAGAAAUUAUGAAUUUUGUGUAUGCCUGUCAUGCAGCCAGAGACUUAGACUGAUAGACAACCAGAGGUCAGCAAACAAGGUGAAUGCAUUUAAUUGGAGAUAAGGAAAAAGAGGAAAUAAACACAGGGAGAGAUGAGAAACCGACAGCAUUUCCUGCAUAAAUUGAACUCGAUGGCAUGCCUGAGCUCUGAGCAACAGAAGUGUGUACGUUGUUCAGUGCUGCCCCCUGCUGUAAGUAAUGCGCCAAUGAUACAUCACAAAGAUUUGGAAGCUCAAGGUGUGCUUUGUACAUGAAGAGGACAGGCUGUUCUCUCUCUAGGUUCUCUUUUGAACACCGCGAGCAGAAUCAAUGUUCUUGUGCUAGGAAUCCUAUUCACACAUUUCAUGUUUCAAAGAAAAUACAACGUACGCAACAAGCUGAGGUGGUUUCAUGGAAAGUCAUGUGACUGAAGCCAAGCCUAUGGGAAUUUGCAUGAGAGACAGGCAGCAAUUGAAAAGAUUUUAUGUGCAAUUGCAAUGUUAUGG